rnacentral:rRNA from 1 species
UACGUAGGGGGCAAGCGUUGUCCGGAUUUACUGGGCGUAAAGCGCACGUAGGCGGCUUUGUAAGUUAGAGGUGAAAGCCCGGGGCUCAACUCCGGAAUUGCCUUUAAGGCUGCAUCGCUAGAAUUGUGGAGAGGUAAGCGGAAUUCCGAGUGUAGAGGUGAAAUUCGUAGAUAUUCGGAAGAACACCAGUGGCGAAGGCGACUUACUGGACACAUAUUGACGCUGAGGUGCGAAAGCGUGGGGAGCAAACAGG